GACGGGUGAGUAACGCGUGGGUAACCUGCCUCAUACAGGGGGAUAACAGUUAGAAAUGACUGCUAAUACCGCAUAAGACCACAGCACCGCAUGGUGCAGGGGUAAAAACUCCGGUGGUAUGAGAUGGACCCGCGUCUGAUUAGGUAGUUGGUGGGGUAACGGCCUACCAAGCCGACGAUCAGUAGCCGACCUGAGAGGGUGACCGGCCACAUUGGGACUGAGACACGGCCCAAACUCCUACGGGAGGCAGCAGUGGGGAAUAUUGCACAAUGGGGGAAACCCUGAUGCAGCGACGCCGCGUGAGCGAUGAAGUAUUUCGGUAUGUAAAGCUCUAUCAGCAGGGAAGAAAAUGACGGUACCUGACUAAGAAGCACCGGCUAAAUACGUGCCAGCAGCCGCGGUAAUACGUAUGGUGCAAGCGUUAUCCGGAUUUACUGGGUGUAAAGGGAGCGUAGACGGAGUGGCAAGUCUGAUGUGAAAACCCGGGGCUCAACCCCGGGACUGCAUUGGAAACUGUCAAUCUAGAGUACCGGAGAGGUAAGCGGAAUUCCUAGUGUAGCGGUGAAAUGCGUAGAUAUUAGGAGGAACACCAGUGGCGAAGGCGGCUUACUGGACGGUAACUGACGUUGAGGCUCGAAAGCGUGGGGAGCAAACAGGAUUAGAUACCCUGGUAGUCCACGCCGUAAACGAUGACUACUAGGUGUCGGGCAGCAAAGCUGUUCGGUG
rnacentral:rRNA from 1 species